GAUGAAGAACGUAGUGAAAUGCGAUAAGUAGUGUGAAUUGCAGAAUUCAGUGAAUCAUCGAAUCUUUGAACGCACAUUGCGCCCCUUGGUAUUCCAUGGGGCAUGCCUGUUCGAGCGUCAUUUGUACCCUCAAGCUUUGCUUGGUGAUGGGUGUUUGUUCCGCUGCAACGCGUGAACUCGCCUCAAAUCAAUUGGCAGCCGGCAGUCUGGUGUUUGAGCGCAGCACAUUUUGCGCUCUUCGCUGUGUAUUGCGGGCGUCCAUGAAGCCUAUAUUUUCGCGCUUGACCUCGGAUCAGGUAGGGAUACCCGCUGAACUUAAGCAUAUCAAUAAGCGGAGGA
rnacentral:misc_RNA from 1 species